GAGAGUAGCGCGGGAGCUGAGAAGUUGGAGGGUUGGGUUGGUCCCGGCAAGGCCUUGAGCAGUUUGUUCCGCUGUCUUCCCGCUUCCUGGUGCCCCGACUGCGUCCCCACGAACGCCCCGUCCUUACCGCCGGCUGCUGUGGAGUGCCUCGCUGUCUCCCAGGUCCCCGAGUUCCUGGUUUCAGAGAAGAUGACCGAAGAACUGGAUUUCCUGGGACAGGACUCUGAUGGGGGUAGUGAGGAAGUGGUCCUAACUCCUGCAGAGCUCAUUGAAAGAUUGGAGCAGGCCUGGAUGAAUGAAAAGUUUGCCCCUGAGCUGCUGGAGAGCAAGCCUGAGAUUGUAGAAUGUGUCAUGGAACAGCUGGAGCACAUGGAAGAAAAUCUCAGGAGAGCCAAAAGGGAGGACCUGAAGGUCAGCAUCCACCAAAUGGAGAUGGAGAGGAUCCGCUACGUCCUCAGCAGCUACUUGCGGUGUCGCCUCAUGAAGGUUUGACG
rnacentral:sRNA from 1 species